rnacentral:tRNA from 1 species
GCCUAGGUGGCUCAGUGGUUGAGCAUCUGCCUUCAGCUCAGGUCGUGAUCCUAGGGUCCUGGGAUCCAGUCCCACAUUAGGCU